AUUGAACGCUGGCGGCAUGCUUUACACAUGCAAGUCGAACGGCAGCGCGGGCUUCGGCCUGGCGGCGAGUGGCGAACGGGUGAGUAAUACAUCGGAACGUGCCCAGUAGUGGGGGAUAGCUCGGCGAAAGCCGGAUUAAUACCGCAUACGACCUGAGGGUGAAAGCGGGGGAUCUUCGGACCUCGCGCUAUUGGAGCGGCCGAUGGCAGAUUAGCUAGUUGGUGGGGUAAAGGCCUACCAAGGCGACGAUCUGUAGCUGGUCUGAGAGGACGACCAGCCACACUGGGACUGAGACACGGCCCAGACUCCUACGGGAGGCAGCAGUGGGGAAUUUUGGACAAUGGGCGAAAGCCUGAUCCAGCAAUGCCGCGUGUGUGAUGAAGGCCUUCGGGUUGUAAAGCACUUUUGGCGGGAACGAAAAGGACUGUGCCAAUACCACGGUUCGAUGACGGUACCCUCAGAAUAAGCACCGGCUAACUACGUG
rnacentral:rRNA from 1 species